CCGAGAAUGAUUUAUAAGGUGGUGAAGACACACGUGGUUCCGGUUCUGUCCAUUAUGUUGUAAUAUGUGUCAUGGUAACAUUCAUACAAUGACUGCAAUAGCUGCUCUCCUUGUGUGUAUGUUGUUUAUAGACAUUCUGAUUAAUACAAAUAGUAUGAAUUCUUUAGAGACCCGCAAGUACUCACUCAUGCAGUAUUAGACUGCUGUCUGCAAUGUUUCGAG